GCAAGUCGAGGGGCGAGCAUUGGAGUAGCAACUACUCAGAUGGCGACCGGCGCACGGGUGAGUAACACGUAUCCAACCUGCCGCUUACUCGGGGAUAGCCUUUCGAAAGAAAGAUUAAUACCCGAUGGUAUAAAGAGUUCGCAUGUUCUCUUUAUUAAAGAAUUUCGGUAAGCGAUGGGGAUGCGUUCCAUUAGAUUGUUGGCGGGGUAACGGCCCACCAAGUCUACGAUGGAUAGGGGUUCUGAGAGGAAGGUCCCCCACAUUGGAACUGAGACACGGUCCAAACUCCUACGGGAGGCAGCAGUGAGGAAUAUUGGUCAAUGGACGAGAGUCUGAACCAGCCAAGUAGCGUGAAGGAUGACUGCCCUAUGGGUUGUAAACUUCUUUUAUAAGGGAAUAAAGUGAGGGACGUGUCCCUUUUUGUAUGUACCUUAUGAAUAAGGAUCGGCUAACUCCGUGCCAGCAGCAGC
rnacentral:rRNA from 1 species